rnacentral:rRNA from 1 species
CAUGGUUAAGUGGGAAACGAUGUGGGAAGGCCCAGACAGCCAGGAUGUUGGCUUAGAAGCAGCCAUCAUUUAAAGAAAGCGUAAUAGCUCACUGGUCGAGUCGGCCUGCGCGGAAGAUGUAACGGGGCUAAACCAUGCACCGAAGCUGCGGCAGCGACGCUUAUGCGUUGUUGGGUAGGGGAGCGUUCUGUAAGCCUGUGAAGGUGUGCUGUGAGGUAUGCUGGAGGUAUCAGAAGUGCGAAUGCUGACAUAAGUAACGAUAAAGCGGGUGAAAAGCCCGCUCGCCGGAAGACCAAGGGUUCCUGUCCAACGUUAAUCGGGGCAGGGUGAGUCGACCCCUAAGGCGAGGCCGAAAGGCGUAGUCGAUGGGAAACAGGUUAAUAUUCCUGUACUUGGUGUUACUGCGAAGGGGGGACGGAGAAGGCUAUGUUGGCCGGGCGACGGUUGUCCCGGUUUAAGCGUGUAGGCUGGUUUUCCAGGCAAAUCCGGAAAAUCAAGGCCGAGGCGUGAUGACGAGGCACUACGGUGCUGAAGCAACAAAUGCCCUGCUUCCAGGAAAAGCCUCUAAGCAUCAGGUAACAUCAAAUCGUACCCCAAACCGACACAGGUGGUCAGGUAGAGAAUACCAAGGCGCUUGAGAGAACUCGGGUGAAGGAACUAGGCAAAAUGGUGCCGUAACUUCGGGAGAAGGCACGCUGAUACGUAGGUGAAGCGACUUGCUCGUGGAGCUGAAAUCAGUCGAAGAUACCAGCUGGCUGCAACUGUUUAUUAAAAACACAGCACUGUGCAAACACGAAAGUGGACGUAUACGGUGUGACGCCUGCCCGGUGCCGGAAGGUUAAUUGAUGGGGUUAGCGCAAGCGAAGCUCUUGAUCGAAGCCCCGGUAAACGGCGGCCGUAACUAUAACGGUCCUAAGGUAGCGAAAUUCCUUGUCGGGUAAGUUCCGACCUGCACGAAUGGCGUAAUGAUGGCCAGGCUGUCUCCACCCGAGACUCAGUGAAAUUGAACUCGCUGUGAAGAUGCAGUGUACCCGCGGCAAGACGGAAAGACCCCGUGAACCUUUACUAUAGCUUGACACUGAACAUUGAGCCUUGAUGUGUAGGAUAGGUGGGAGGCUUUGAAGUGUGGACGCCAGUCUGCAUGGAGCCGACCUUGAAAUACCACCCUUUAAUGUUUGAUGUUCUAACGUGGACCCGUGAUCCGGGUUGCGGACAGUGUCUGGUGGGUAGUUUGACUGGGGCGGUCUCCUCCUAAAGAGUAACGGAGGAGCACGAAGGUUGGCUAAUCCUGGUCGGACAUCAGGAGGUUAGUGCAAUGGCAUAAGCCAGCUUGACUGCGAGCGUGACGGCGCGAGCAGGUGCGAAAGCAGGUCAUAGUGAUCCGGUGGUUCUGAAUGGAAGGGCCAUCGCUCAACGGAUAAAAGGUACUCCGGGGAUAACAGGCUGAUACCGCCCAAGAGUUCAUAUCGACGGCGGUGUUUGGCACCUCGAUGUCGGCUCAUCACAUCCUGGGGCUGAAGUAGGUCCCAAGGGUAUGGCUGUUCGCCAUUUAAAGUGGUACGCGAGCUGGGUUUAGAACGUCGUGAGACAGUUCGGUCCCUAUCUGCCGUGGGCGCUGGAGAACUGAGGGGGGCUGCUCCUAGUACGAGAGGACCGGAGUGGACGCAUCACUGGUGUUCGGGUUGUCAUGCCAAUGGCACUGCCCGGUAGCUAAAUGCGGAAGAGAUAAGUGCUGAAAGCAUCUAAGCACGAAACUUGCCCCGAGAUGAGUUCUCCCUGACCCUUUAAGGGUCCUGAAGGAAC